rnacentral:rRNA from 1 species
UACGUAGGGUGCGAGCGUUAAUCGGAAUUACUGGGCGUAAAGUGUGCGCAGGCGGCCGAGCAAGUCGAGUGUGAAAGCCCCGAGCUUAACUUGGGAACUGCGCUCGAAACUACUUGGCUAGAGUGUAGCAGAGGGAGGUGGAAUUCCACGUGUAGCGGUGAAAUGCGUAGAGAUGUGGAGGAACACCGAUGGCGAAGGCAGCCUCCUGGGCCAACACUGACGCUCAUGCACGAAAGCGUGGGGAGCAAACAGG